rnacentral:rRNA from 1 species
UACAGAGGGUGCAAACGUUUGUUCGGAUUUACUGGGCGUAAAGCGCGUGUAGGCUGCUUCGCAAGUCGGAUGUGAAAGGCCUGGGCUCAACCUGGGAAUGGCAUCCGAUACGGCGGGGCUGGAGUGUGGGAGAGGUUGGUGGAAUUCCCAGUGUAGAGGUGAAAUUCGUAGAUAUUGGGAAGAACACCGGUGGCGAAGGCGGCCAACUGGACCACAACUGACGCUGAGGCGCGAAAGCGUGGGGAGCAAACAGG